UCUUGCAAAUUAGCGUUAAUGCAACAGAUCCCAUUAGAACUCUGUAGUUAAGCAUGCUCGGGAUAGAGUAACAUUGGGAUGGAUGACCUCCCAUGAAGUCCUAGUGUUUUACAUGCC
rnacentral:rRNA from 1 species